GGAGAGACUCUCAAGAUACUGCAUAGUCAUCUUCCCUGAGGCAUAUUGUAGGAGACUGCCAACAUUUCAAACAUUUCCUUGAUGUAGGAUGAUCACAACUGAAAGGAAUGUGAAUUUUAUCCAGCUGUCGGUUACUGCAAGAUCUUCUAAACAAAGCACCAGGGGACCUUUGAGGAAGGGCCGGGACAGGG